UUGUUCUUCAUAGAUGGAUAUUCACUGUUUGCUUUUAUUUCAAUGAAGUUUCAGUUUCUCUAUUUGGGUUCGAAUUAGUUUCUGGGAUUGAUCUAAUUCCUAUAUGAAGGGAUAUGGUAGGGCGAUGCAGAAAGAGCUAAAGCUAUUAAAGCUGAGCCUAUAUAUCCAAAGGUCAAUUUUGAAGUGUGAAAAUAUUGGAAAAGAAUGUGCUUUUUUUGUUAUUGUUUCCCUAAAUUUUGCCUUCUAUGUCUGAUAUGUUGAUUUAGUAGUUAGAGAAACAACAUUUCUCAACACUUCUCCAUUUUUUGCAGCCAACUUCUUUCUUGCCGAUUAACUUGUAAAUGCUUUAAAUCAACAGGAAUACUUGCAGAGAUCAGAUGGACAUGUUAAAAAUUUGUGACCACAGUAAUGCUUCAUCUAUAGAUAAGAAAUUGUUUCGGACCACCAAGAGGAGCAUCAUUUAUUCUACAAUCAUUUGAUGCACAUUUUGACACUGACUUUUUUUUACAUAUAUCUGAUUUUUAAUUUUUCCCAUAAGUAUUUACUUUUGCAGGAAAGUUGAAGCUAGAAAUUUCUUUCAUGGUAGCUUUCAUUCCAUCAUACUGAUUUGCUACUUAUAAUUUUCUCAAAUUUGAUUAUUGUUUAAGCAUUUUUUUCUUUUCUCAUCAUAAUUUUUACUUCCUGAAAUAAGUUGCUCAGUAUUGAACUUGUGAUCACUGUGGAAUUGACAUUUUUAGGCCAAAUGAUAUGUUCAAAUUGCAUAAAGAUUCUAGUUUUUGUCAGCUUCUUGAUGGUGUUUGCAUGUUACUGGUUAUGUGUUGUAUUUGUUUCUAUAAAGUUUUGGUGUGGUCAGUGUGGAAUUGUCAUUUUUGGGUCAAAUAGUCUUCUUUUAAUUGCAUAAAGAUUGCAUGUUUUCUCUGCUCCUUGAUGGAGUUUGUAUGUUAUUGGUUGUGUUGUGUAUUUGUUUCUAUUGGUUUUGGUGUGAUUACUGUGGAAUUGGUGUGUUUGGGCCAAAUGGUAUGUUGAACUGUAUAGAGAUUCCAACUUUGGUUUAUGUUACUGGUUGUGUAUUGUAUUUGUUUCUAUUGGUUCUGUGAUCAGUGUGGAAUUGAAAUUUUUAGGUCAAAUGGUGUUUUUUUAAUUGCAUAAAGAUUCCAUUUUUAGCCUACCCCUUGGUGGGGUUUGGGCUUGUGAAGCGGAGAUGUGCAGGUGUCCCAGAGUGGAGGUUUUAGAGGUUGGGUAUGAGGAAUGGUAAAGGUAGGUCGAAAAAGUAUUAGAGAGAGGUAGAGGUAAGCCGAAGGAGUGUUGGGAGAUGUGAUAAAAUAAGGAGUUUUUGAGUACCUAUCUCCAUUAAUGUUCCCAGCCCAUGAUGCCCCUUUGCCAUCCCAUCCAACGUAACACAGCCCACCACACCUUACUAGAGAAGUUGCAGAUGAACAGUAGGUGUUGCAAGAUUUUAGGAUGUUCCCCACAUAAUACUCAGGUGCCAUUGAUAGACAUGAACCAUUGGUGCAAGAUAUUCUUAGUUCUCAGCUUCCCAAGUAGACUAAGCCACAGUGUGAAUGUUUGUUUUGGACAUGUUGCAUUGCAACAUGUUAGUCUUUUCCAAGGCACAUUUGUGAACUCUCCUCUUAGUUGUUUGCAGGCAGCUUUAGUCUGGAAGCUUUUUAACCAUCCAAGAGGCUUUCUUAGGAACUUUUUUUAGUGAACAAUUACAUAUAAAGAUGUUAAUUAUAGCUUCUUAAGUGAUAUGAUGUUAAUAAUAUUUUUGAAAAGAACAUUCUCCUCAAAUAUUUCACCGAGCUAUCAGAAAUGACUCAUUUAUGUCAUCCGUUAAAAGUUGGGCUCAUUCAUGCUAUCGCUGUUACAAAAUCGGCCAAUUCCUAUUACAAAAUCGGCCAAUUCAUGGCAUUACUUUUUAACAGAUGGUUUUUAAAAACAGCCUUGCCACGUGACAGCUUAUUAGAGGGCCACGCCAUUUUUUAAUUUUUUUUAAUUUUUUUUUUUUAAAAUAAUUUCUUUUUAAAAAAUAAUUUUUUUUAUCUAUUAAAAAG
rnacentral:lncRNA from 1 species